rnacentral:rRNA from 1 species
GACGAACGCUGGCGGCGUGCCUAAUACAUGCAAGUAGAACGCUGAAGGGGGAGCUUGCUUCUCUGGAUGAGUUGCGAACGGGUGAGUAACGCGUAGGUAACCUGCCUGGUAGCGGGGGAUAACUAUUGGAAACGAUAGCCAAUACCGCAUAAUAGUAGAUGUUGCAUGACAUUUGCUUAAAAGGUGCAAUUGCAUCACUACCAGAUGGACCUUCGUUGGAUUAGCUAGUUGGUGGGGUAACGGCUCACCAAGGCGACGAUACAUAGCCGACCUGAGAGGGUGAUCGGCCACCCCGGGACUGGGACACGGCCCAGACUCCUACGGGAGGCAGCAGUAGGGAAACUUCGGGCAUGGACGGAAGUCUGACCGAGCAACGCCGCGUGAGUGAAGAAGGUUUUCGGAUCGUAAAGCUCUGUUGUAAGAGAAGAACGAGUGUGGGAGUGGAAAGUUCACACUGUGACGGUAUCUAACCAGAAAGGGACGGCUAACUACGUG